UUCGGCUGUUGCCUUUGUAUGUAUAAUAUAUGGCUGUAGCGAUCACAUCACGUCACAUGACCAGAGUCACCCUGAUGUUAAAUGCACGCGAACAUCUUCAAUAGCCAGUUCGUUGUCUCAUCUCAAACUACGGUUGUUGCUGAGCUGACAGCUAUACUUAUCUGGCAACAAAACCGCCCGCCCCGAACAGCUCUGCAGUCGAUUCCGUCUGUUUUUAUUUUGUUAGAUAAAACGAGCUACUGUGUUUAAGGGUUUGUUGUUAUUUAUCUUGUUAGCAAAUCACUUUUUGGGGGGGAAACGUUAGUAAACAAUCCAAUUUGAAAGAUCAACCGAUCUUCACACUAAGCAUCUGUCUGCGGUUGAUCAGAAGAACCCAAAUAAACCCAGGAUGACGACCAACGCUCAGGAGGCGAAGAGUUGCCCAAUCCCUACCCGGGUGCUCACCCUGAAAGACUGGUCUCAGCUCCCCGACUGCUACAGUCAGACUCCCGGGGGUACUCUCUUCUCCACAACGCCCGGAGAGUACAGCAUUGCAGAAUUCCAGACCACUGACUGACCCAAAAUUUAAGGAGAGCUAUGACUAUGUACAGACUUGGUGAGCAUAGCUUUGCUAUUGAAAGAGGCUGCUGUAGGUAGACCUUUGGACCUUUUGUUUACUGAGUGUAGUUUACUGUACGGUUUUUGUUUAUUUAACUUUGAUCUAUUUCACUUGCUUUGGCAAUGUAAACUUGUUUCCCAUGACAAUAAAGCCCUUGAAUUUGAGAGAGUAAAGUAUGAGAGGGGGAGGGAUUGGGAAGCAUAAAUGGAGUGCAACGAGAGGCCUUUCUAAGAAUUGUUGAAGUGAGGACAUGUGGGAGGGAGUGGUGGAAAGUGUGAUUUGGCUGAGAGCAGAAAGCAGUGUGGUUUCAGGUCCUCUAUGGAUCCUUAAACUUACUUUUGCGUCAUGGAAGACUAGGCCAAGCUUUAAGGAGUAGUUAUAACAUGGUUAUAACAGCUGUGUUAGUCAUUACACUGCUUAUGGUGAUUCUUCAUUGAUGCUUUACAACAGGUGCUCCCGAGUGUCACAGUGGUCUAAGGCACUGAAUCUCAGUGCCAGAGGUGUUACUACAGACCCUGGUUUGAUUCCAGGCUGUAUCACCGCCAGCCAGGAUUGCGAGUCCCAUAGCGCGGCGCACAAUUGGCUCAGCGUCGUCCGGUUUUGGCCGGGGCAGGCCGUCAUUGUAAAUAAGAAUAUGUUCUUAACUGACUUGCCUAGUUAAAUAAAUUAAAAACAUUUGGCCUAGAGCAGUUUUACAUGAUGCUUCUAUAACCAGAAGUUAAUUUUCUACAAUUAACUGUUGAUGUGAGCACAACAAGCAUUACACAUGGUUUGGAGAGACUGCUCCGCUCCCCCGGCCAAUCUCUCCCUGCUGUAAUGUGAUGAGGGGAGGGUGGGUGGGUGUUAUCCCAUUGCCACUGACAGAGCGUGGCAUUACAUGGGAUGGGCUCUGUUUCAUGUGAACCGAGAGAUUGGCCACAGAGCUGGACUUAGCUGGGCCUUUUCUGCAUAACUCAGGGCCAGGGUACUAUAGUUUAGCUGCUGGCUGUCCUGUUCUCUCUGCAUAGCUUCUGCCUAAAUUCCUGCCCUAAUGUUUAUACACACACUCCGCUUUCCUUUUGUUCAGGACAGGGUGCUCAACUGGCAGAGGUUGUAACUGUUCUGCACUGUAUCAGUUGUAACUACAGCGUGCUGUACUAAUACUCAGUGGUGGAAAAAGUACCCAAUUGUUAUUCUAAAGUAAAGAUGCCUUAAUAGAACAUUAAACUACUUCCCCCUACUGUACCUGCCUCUAAAAAGCUGGGAUUUGAAUCCUAGCUCUGGUAAAGGCAGCUCCUCCCAGUCUGCUCCAAACUCAGAUGCAACUAACCCUAUUACCCUUUCCUCCUCCUCUUCCUCCCCCCACACCACCAAGUCCUCCUUCCCCUCACGCCACCCUGGCUCGGCCCUCUCCGCCUUCUCCCACAUCCCCUCCCUCUCAAACUCCCCACACCCUCUCACACAGGUAAAGCACCCUCAGAUGGCCAGGGGCAGGCACACUUCAACACUCAGGCAUCAUUUACAAACAAAACAUUCAUUUGAUUUGUUGUGAGUCUGCCAGAUCAGAGGCAGUAGGGAUGGCCUCUUGAUAAGUGUGAAUUUGAUACUUUUUCCUGUCCUACUAAGCAUUCAAAAUGUAAUGAGUACUUUUGGGUGUCAUGGAAAAUGUAUGGAGUAAAAAGUACAUUUUUAGGAAUGUAGUAAAGUACAGAACACCAAAAAAAAAAACAGUUAAAGUACUAGUUGAGUACUUUCCACCACUGCUAAUACUAAAUACUGCACGGCAGCACUCCCCGUCCUCUCCAUGUAACCCUGUCCAGGGCAGACUUCAGUAGUAGACACCACAACAUUGGAUGAUAUAAUAUCUAUAACGACUGUUUAUCAAACGUUCUGUCAGUCGAUACACAGUGGUUCAGGUGAAACUUCAGUUCAUCAGGAUGAUAUUCAGUAUGAUAUAAUAUCUAUAACGACUGUUUAUCAAUGUUCUGUUGCAAUUCAGGGAUCACAUCAGUCUGUCAGCAACCUGUCGGAGCCUAGUUGUUUACCAAACAGUCUCUACUGUAGACAUGCAGACAACCUUUGUAUGGAGUGGCAAGUCAAGUUCCCUUUUACAUACUGUAUUCCAAAUGGUCUAGGCCUGUUGUGGAAGAGAUGACAUAACCUCCACUCAACCAGGCAACCUCAUGAAUGGGGUAUCACCACAGGAGGCCUCGUCAAGCCACCUAAGCAAACAUAAUGUAGGGAAAACUCUGCAGGUGACUACAGUACAGCUCUGUAGCGUGCGACACUGAGCGCCCGGUGCAGGCCACACUGAGCGCCCGGUGCAGGCGACACGGAGCGCUCUGUGUUUGGUGGUGACUACAUGUUUCUGGUCUGCCUCCUGUCACCACUUCCUGGUUCUAGGAGAACUUGUUUAUGUUCUCCACUUUCCUAGAACUGGCUUACUACUGCCAACCCACAAGUUCUUUCCUCUGUUUCCUCUGUUUCCUCCUGUUUUCCUCUUUUCCCUUACUCACAAUGGCCAACUGACUCCUCUUCUCCCCUCCCUCCUCCAUCUCCUCUCCCUCCUCCAUCUCCUCUCCUUGGGCUGAAAACCGUGUGUUUGGUAUGCAUCCAACAGCUCUGACCCUAAGGCCAGGGAGGGCCUCAGGGGUGCAGUCCCAGUUUCUUCCAGAUACACUAUUGUAUUUGUGCAGUUUUGACAUCAAACGAUUCAUGGAUGGUUUUCAAGGGGAUAAAUCAGGAACUAAAUCAUCCAUUUUUGUACACUGAAUAAUGUGCUUGAGUUUAUAACUAAUCUCCAACAGAUGUUAUGGUACAUGAGUCAAUUUUAGGGAUGUCCCUGGCUAAAAUAAAAUUUGUGGUCGACCGAAUGUCUGUUCUUCAGACCAAUUGAUUGGUGAACAUGUAUUCUUACUUAUUGAUACAUCCUGUGUUUUAGUCAUAUCAGCUAUAUGCACUGAGCCUCAGACUUGCUGUGUUAAAAAACAAAUUGACAGCGACUGGCUGUGACGAGCACCCGUUGUCUGUGUCUCUUACCCUGCUACAGAGACCACAACAUCAACAGAACAGUGUUUAUCGCGCUGUCCGUGUUGCUGAAAAGUUGGCCGAAAUCCCUAAUUUGUUUAGGAAAAUCUUUACCCCAACCCGUGCUCUCUUUGUCACUCAUUUAUACAUCACAUGCACCUGACCAAUAUGGCCUGACUGGCUAUAAUGGCGCUGGAGGGGAUGACUGACGUUUUACAGACUGCUAACCAACUGUGCUAUUUAUUUUUUAUCCCACAUUGUUUUUACAGUUGAAGUCGGAAGUUUACAUACAUCUUAGCCAAAUGCAUUUAAACUCAGUUUCACAUAUUCCUGACAUUUAUUCCUAGUAAAGAUCUUAGGUCAGUUCGGAUCAACAAUUUAUUUUAAGAAUGUGAAUGUCAGAAUAAUAGAGUUUUAUUUAUUUCAUCACAUUCCCAGUGGGUCAGAAGUUUACAUGCACUCAAUUAGUAUUUGGUAGCAUUGACUUUAAAUUGUUUAACUUGGGUCAAACAUUUUGGGUAGCUUUCCACAAUAAGUUGGGUGAAUUUUGCCCCAUUCCUCCUGACAGAGCUGGUGUUACUGAGUCAGGUUUGUAGGCCUCCUUGCACGCACAUGCUUCUUCAGUUCUGCCCACAAACUUUCUAUAGGAUUGAGGUCAGGGCUUUGUGAUGGCCACUCCAAUACCUUGCUUUGUUGUCCUUACGCCAUUUUUCCGCAACUUUGGAAGUAUGCUUGGGGUCAUUGUACAUUUGGAAGACCCAUUUGCGACCAAGCUUUAACUUCCUGACUGAUGUCUUAAGAUGUUGCUUCAAUAUAUCCACAUAAUUUUCCUUCCCCAUGAUGCCAUCUAUUUUGUGAAUUACACCAGUCCCUCCUGCAGCAAAGCACCCCCACAACAUGAUGCUGCCAUCCUCCUCAGACCAGAGGACAUUUCUCCAAAAACAAUGAUCUUUGUCCCCAUGUGCAGGUGCAGACUGUAGUCUGGCUCUUUAUGGCGGUUUUGGAGCAGUGGCUUCUUCCUUGCUGAGUGGCCUUUCAGGUUGUCGAUAUAGGACUUGUUUUACUGUGCAUAUAGAUACUUUUGUACCUGUUUCCUCUAGCAUCUUCACAAGGGCCUUUGCUGUUCUGGGAUUGAUUUGCACUUUUCACACAAGUGUGUUCUGCCUCCUAGAGAUGAACGUAUCUCCUUCCUGAGCGGUAUGACGGCUGAGUGGUCCCAUGGUGUUGAUACUUGCGUAUUAUUGUUGGUACAGAUGAACGUGGUACCUUCAGGAGUUUGGAAAGGAUGAAUCAGACUUGUGGAUGUCUACAAUUUUUGGUUUCUGAGGUCUUGGCUGAUUUUUCUUUUGAUUUUCCCAUGAUGUCAAGCAAAGAGGCACUGAGUUUGAAGGUAGGCCUUAACACAUCCACAGGUACACCUCCAAUUGACUCAAUUAGCCUAUCAGAAGCCACUAAAGCCAUGAUAUAAUUUUCUGGAAUGUUCCAAGCUGUUUAAAUGCACAGUCAUCUUAGUGUAUGUAAACUUCUGACCCACUGGAAUUGUGAUACAGUGAAAUAGGGUUAUGGUCUGUAAAUAAUUGUUGGAAAAAUUACUUGUCAUGCGCAAAGUAGAUGUCCUAACCGACUUGCCAAAAUUUUAGUUUGUCAACAAGAAAUUUGUGAAGUGGUUGACAAACGCGUUUUAAUGACUCCAACCUAAGUGUAUGUAAAUUUCCGACUUCAACUGUUACUAAUUUUGUACAUAAUGUUGCUGCUACCGUCUCUUAUGACCGAAAAGAGCUUCUGGAUAUCAGAACAGCGAUUACUCCCCUCGAACUGGACAAAGAUUUUUUUUCUUUAAUGUGUCUGACUCGAAGGAUAUAUUGCUUUGUCGAGCCAAGGAUCAAAUCGGCGUCAUCUGUUUGAAUAAAAGGGGGAGGAGGGCAGGUGCCUUGUAAGAAUUUGUUGACGAGUAGGUAAACCACCACUAACCUUUGCACGUUGGCCAAUAAUACAAUAAUUGGAAAACAAACUGGACGAUCUACGAUUAAGACUAUCCUACCAACGGGACAUUCAAAACUGUAACAUCUUGUGUUUCACUGAUACGUGGCUGAACGACGACAUGGAUAAUAUAGAGCUGGCUAGCUUCCCCGCGCAUCAGCAGGACAGAGCAGCUACGUCUGGUAAGACGAGGGGCGAGGGUGUGUCAAUAACUGCUGUUGUGCAAUGUCUAAUAUUAAAGAAGUCUCAAGGUAUUGCCCGCCUGAAGUAGAAUACCUCAUGAUAAGCUGUAGACCACACUAUCUAUAUUAUUCGUAGCCGUCUAUUUACCACCACAAACUGAUGCUGGCACUAUGACCGCACUCAAGAAAAUGCUCGUCCAGAAGCGGCGCUCCUAGUGGCCAGGGACUUUAAUGCAGGCAAACUUAAAUCCGUUUAACCUCAUUUCUACCAGCAUGUCACAUGCAACCAGAGGAGAAAAAAAACUAUUGACCACUUACUCCACACACAGAUGCAUACAAAGCUCUCCCUCGCCCUCAAUUUGGCAAAUCUGACCAUAAUUCUAUCCUUCUGAUUACGAGCUAAAACUAUAGCAGGAAGUACCAGUGACUCGCUCAAUACGGAAGUGGUCAGGUGAUGCGGCUGCUACGCUGCAGGACUGUUUUGCUAGCAAAGACUGGAAUAUGUUCUGGGAUUGCACUGACCGGUUGCUACGGAGGGCAUGCACUGACCGGUUGCUACGGAGGGUCUUUCAUACGGCUCAGUACAUCGCUGAGGCCAAGCUUCCUGACAUCCAGGACCUACAGUGCUUUGCAAAAGUAUUCAUCCCCCUUAGUGUUUUUUCUUAUUUUGGUGCACUACAACCUGUCAUUUAUUUGGAUUUCAUGUAAUGGACAUACACAAAAUAGUCCAAUUUGGUGAAAUUAAAAUAACUUGUUUAAAAAAAAUUCUUAAAGGAAAAGUGGUGCGUGUAUAUGCAUUCACCCCCUUUGCACCACCAAGCUAAUACCCCCCGACAGGAACACGCAUCAUCUACGACAGGAAGUUCCUGCUGGACUGUCGGAACUCUCCCAUUGCCCGGACUCCUCCAUGCUGCCUGCCCCAGAUCCCAGGGGUGACGGUGCCCGCUCUGCACCCUCUGGGCAAACUACAGGAACUUAAAGAGGAGCUGGAGGAGGAGGAGAAGGACCUGGGAGGUAGGAAUAUGCACACACUAGACAUGCGUACUGUGUAUACGCGCGCACACACACAUUCUGUACACAGGUGCACACUGACAAACUUGCAUAUGAACAUGUACACACAGGUAGAACUCCGUUCAACCACCUAUAUGAUAAUGUUGACAUGUACCUACGUAUAUGUCCAUUCAACCACCUAUAUGUUAUUUCCUUGUCUUCGUGGAACCUAGUGUUUUAAGAAGUGGAUGAGGGGGAGUAGAAGACCAGAGCAGCAUUUUUGCAGGCAUUAUCACCUGCUGUUAUUCCUGUCCAUCUGUCUGUCGGACAUGGUCACCUGCUGUUAUUCCUGUCCGUCGGACAUGGUCACCUGCUGUUAUUCCUGUCCGUCGGACAUGGUCACCUGCUGUUAUUCCUGUCUGCCGGACAUGGUCACUUUCUGUUAUUCCUGUCCGUCGGACAUGGUCACUUGCUGUUAUUCCUGUCCGUCGGACAUGGUCACCUGCUGUUAUUCCUGUCCGCCGGACAUGGUCACCUGCUGUUAUUCCUGUCCGUCGGACAUGGUCACCUGCUGUUAUUCCUGUCCGUCGGACAUGGUCACCUGCUGUUAUUCCUGUCCGCCGGACAUGGUCACCUGC
ensembl:lncRNA